rnacentral:rRNA from 1 species
UACGUAGGUGGCGAGCGUUGUCCGGAAUUACUGGGUGUAAAGGGCGUGUAGGCGGGGAAGUAAGUCAGAUGUGAAAUACCAUGGCUCAACUGUGGGGCUGCAUCUGAAACUAUUUAUCUUGAGUGCUGGAGAGGGAAGCGGAAUUCCAAGUGUAGCGGUGAAAUGCGUAGAGAUUUGGAGGAACACCAGUGGCGAAGGCGGCUUUCUGGACAGUAACUGGCGAUGAGGCGCGAAAGCGUGGGGAGCAAACAGG